AUGGCUCAGGAUGAACGCUAGCGACAGGCCUAACACAUGCAAGUCGAGGGGCAGCACAAGGAGCAAUCUGAGGUGGCGACCGGCGCACGGGUGAGUAACACGUAUGCAACCUGCCUGUAAGAGGGGAAUAACCCGUUGAAAGACGGACUAAUACCGCAUAAUACUAAAUUACUGCAUGGUAAUUUAUUUAAACAUUUAUGGCUUACAGAUGGGCAUGCGCAUGAUUAGCUAGUUGGAGAGGUAACGGCUCCCCAAGGCAACGAUCAUUAGGGGUUCUGAGAGGAAGGUCCCCCCACACUGGUACUGAGACACGGACCAGACUCCUACGGGAGGCAGCAGUGAGGAAUAUUGGUCAAUGGACGAGAGUCUGAACCAGCCAAGUCGCGUGCAGGAAGAAAAUGUCCUAUGGAUUGUAAACUGCUUUUGCAGGGGAAUAAAGUGCAUCACGUGUGAUGUUUUGUAUGUACUCUGCGAAUAAGGAUCGGCUAACUCCGUGCCAGCCGCCGC
rnacentral:rRNA from 1 species